AUUGAACGCUGGCGGGAUGCUUUACACAUGCAAGUCGAACGGCAGCGCGGAAUUCGGUCUCGCGGCGAGUGGCGAACGGGUGAAUAAUGUAUCGGAACGUGCCCAGUUGCGGUGGCUAACUACGCGAAAGCGUAGCUCAUACCCCAUACGCCCUACGGGGCUACGCAGGGAAUCGUAAGAUCUUGCACCCUUGCACGGUCCAAUAUCGCGAUAUCGGAUUAGCUAGUUGGCGGGGUAACGGCCCACCAAGGCGACGAUCCGUAGCUGGUAUGAGAGGACGAUCAGCCACACUGGAACUGAGACACGGCCCAGACUCCUACGGGAGGCAGCAGUGGGGAAUAUUGGACAAUGGGCGCAAGCCUGAUCCAGCCAUCCCGCGUGGGUGAAGAAGGCCUUCGGGUUGUAAAGCACUUUUGGCAGGAAAGAAACGCAGCAGGCUAAUACCCCGUUGAUCUGACGGUACCCGCAGAAUAAGCACCGGCUAACUUCGUG
rnacentral:rRNA from 1 species